UACGAACUGUGCAAACGUUAUUCGGAAUCACUGGGCUUAAAGGGUGCGUAGGCGGCCGUUUAAGUAGGGUGUGAAAGCCUGGAGCUCAACUCCAGAACUGCGCUCUAAACUGGACGGCUCGAGUGAGAUAGGGGUGUGUGGAACUUCCGGUGGAGCGGUGAAAUGUGUUGAUAUCGGAAGGAACGCCGGUGGCGAAAGCGACACACUGGGUCUCAACUGACGCUGAGGCACGAAAGCCAGGGUAGCGAACGGC
rnacentral:rRNA from 1 species